GAACGAACGCUGGCGGCAUGCCUAACACAUGCAAGUCGAACGAGACCUUCGGGUCUAGUGGCGCACGGGUGCGUAACGCGUGGGAACCUGCCCUUAGGUUCGGAAUAACUCCCCGAAAGGGGUGCUAAUACCGGAUAAUGUCUUCGGACCAAAGAUUUAUCGCCUUUGGAUGGGCCCGCGUUGGAUUAGCUAGUUGGUAGGGUAAAAGCCUACCAAGGCGACGAUCCAUAGCUGGUCUGAGAGGAUGAUCAGCCACACUGGGACUGAAACACGGCCCAGACUCCUACGGGAGGCAGCAGUGGGGAAUAGUGGACAAUGGGCGAAAGCCUGAUCCAGCAAUGCCGCGUGAGUGAUGAAGGCCUUAGGGUUGUAAAGCUCUUUUACCCGGGAUGAUAAUGACAGUACCGGGAGAAUAAGCUCCGGCUAACUCCGUG
rnacentral:rRNA from 1 species